UAGGUUCAGAAGUACGAGCUUCAGAGCAUCCUUAGUUGAUUAGACGUUCAGCAGCCAGACUAGCAGGUCUGGAGAUAUUUUUAUUUCUUUGCGCAAUGAUAGGUGAUUCCUUAAUUAUCCAUGAGUUGGCUUGAAGUGGCAAAGAGUCUCUGGUCCUCGGCAAACUUUACAUACCCAUCACGGCCAAGCCCUGGUUUGGGUCGUAACACAUCUUUCAAUGGGGCCAGCCGAGAAAAAAAGAUAAAUGUGGAUGAUGCGGAUGAUAGUGAGUAUUCUUUCCUCUCUGAUGUUGAGGGUGGUGAUGGUGGUGAUGAUAAGGCUCAUUCUCGAUCCAGAAUUGAUUGGCUCGCCUGUAGUUUGCUAGUUUGAUGCAGAGUUUAGGGAGUCCCUACCUCCUUCUCUACUUUAUUAUGUACUAGAUUUUUUUAGUUGAGGGUGGGGCAACUUGUAUUUGUUAUUGGGCCUGUGCUAUUUAUAUUUCAUUUUGAUAAAUUUGUGCCCUUGUUAGGCUUGAUUUGUAUGAUUGAUUGAUUGAGACCCUUAUCGGGAUUGUGUGGUGUUGAUAUGGAUGAUUAUUUUGGUGCUUAUUGUGUUGAUUAUUUUUGUUGGAUUA